rnacentral:rRNA from 1 species
UACGUAGGGACCGAGCGUUGUCCGGAAUCAUUGGGCGUAAAGAGCGUGUAGGCGGCCACUUAAGUCCUGCGUGAAAUCUUGCGGCUCAACCGCAAGCGGUCGUAGGAAACUGGGUGGCUAGAGUGCGGGAGAGGAGAGUGGAAUUCCUGGUGUAGCGGUGGAAUGCGCAGAUAUCAGGAGGAACACCAAUGGCGAAGGCAGCUCGCUGGGACGGUACUGACGCUGAGGCGCGAAAGCGUGGGGAGCAAACAGG